UACGUAGGGGGGCAAGCGUUGUCCGGAAUUAUUGGGCGUAAAGAGCGUGUAGGCGGUCCGGUAAGUCGGCUGUGAAAGUCCAGGGCUCAACCCUGGGAUGCCGGUGGAUACUGUCGGGCUAGAGUGCGGAAGAGGCGAGUGGAAUUCCUGGUGUAGCGGUGAAAUGCGCAGAUAUCAGGAGGAACACCAAUUGCGAAGGCAGCUCGCUGGGACGUAACUGACGCUGAGACGCGAAAAGCGUGGGGAGCAAACAGG
rnacentral:rRNA from 1 species